AUUGAACGCUGGCGGCAGGCCUAACACAUGCAAGUCGAGCGAGCGGCGGACGGGUGAGUAAUGUCUGGGAAACUUCCUGAUGGCGGGGGAUAACUACUGGAAACGGUAGCUAAUACCGCAUACCAUCAGAUGUACCCAUAUGGGAUUAGCUAGUAGGUGGGGUAAUGGCUCACCUAGGCGACGAUCCCUAGCUGGUCUGAGAGGAUGACCAGCAACACUGGAACUGAGACACGGUCCAGACUCCGACGGGAGGCAGCAGUGGGGAAUAUUGCACAAUGGGCGCAAGCCUGAUGCAGCCAUGCCGCGUGUAUGAAGAAGGCCCUAGGGUUGUAAAGUACUUUCAGCGGGGAGGCGUUACCGGCAGAAGAAGCACCGGCUAACUCCGUGCCAGCAGCCGCGGUAAUUC
rnacentral:rRNA from 1 species